AGUGGCGGACGGGUGAGUAACGCGUGAGAAUCUGCCUUGGGGUCGGGGACAACCACUGGAAACGGUGGCUAAUACCGGAUAAGCCGAUUGGUGAAAGAUUUAUUGCCCGAAGAGGAGCUCGCGUCUGAUUAGCUAGUUGGUGAGGUAAGAGCUCGCCAAGGCAGCGAUCAGUAGCUGGUCUGAGAGGACGAUCAGCCACACUGGGACUGAGACACGGCCCAGACUCCUACGGGAGGCAGCAGUGGGGAAUUUUCCGCAAUGGGCGAAAGCCUGACGGAGCAAGACCGCGUGAGGGAGGAAGGCUCUUGGGUUGUAAACCUCUUUUCUCAGGGAAGAAGCUCUGACGGUACCUGAGGAAUCAGCCUCGGCUAACUCCGUGCCAGCAGCCGCGGUAAUACGGAGGAGGCAAGCGUUAUCCGGAAUUAUUGGGCGUAAAGCGUCCGCAGGUGGCGAUUCAAGUCUGCUGUCAAAGCACGGGGCUUAACUCCGUAAAGGCAGUGGAAACUGAAUAGCUAGAGUGCCGUAGGGGUAGAGGGAAUUCCCGGUGUAGCGGUGAAAUGCGUAGAGAUCGGGAAGAACAUCGGUGGCGAAAGCGCUCUACUGGACGGCAACUGACACUCAGGGACGAAAGCUAGGGGAGCGAAUGGGAUUAGAUACCCC
rnacentral:rRNA from 1 species